rnacentral:rRNA from 1 species
UCUCAUUGACCCAAUGAAUUCUUUCGCCUUGCGCGGAAGGAGUUCACUGUGCGACCCCAGGUCAGGCGGGGCUACCCGCUGAGUUUAAGCAUAUC